rnacentral:lncRNA from 1 species
AAGAUCAGAAAGGCUAGGAAAACCGCACAAAGUCCCCACAUUGGCACUGCUGGCAGAAAGGUAGGAAAAUAGGAUUCAGUCCUACCCCCAUGUGUUUAUCCCCUGCUGGGGAAAAAUUCAUCCUUUGAGAUUUACUCGUUUGUCACCCUCCUCUCUCUUCUCACCCUUUAAAGGGUAGCUGUCUACUCCAAUCCUGUAAAGAAAAUAGGGCCUGCUGGUAUGAGCAUGGAGCUAAGGGUGAGCAAUUUGGGAGAACUGUUCACAGGUCUCAUGAUCCACAACUUGGGUUAACUUGGAUAGCCUGAGUUUCCACUUAAGGGUAUCCCAUUACCUUUACAAAAACAUUCAUUCUAGGUUAUUUCUAUAAUGUGAACAGGAGUCAGGCAUGGGGGAGGAGACAGUGCUCAUACACUGGGAGGAAAACACUAUGAGGUAAGGUAGACUGUGUUUCCUGUAAGUAAACAGAGUAUGGAUGACUUGAGAAAAACACAACAACAACAACAAAAAAUUUAGACACUGCUUUCACUAAGCUUUCAACCUACGGACACUAGUUGCAUUUGACUAUUAUCUUCGUAUUUUUCUAUUUUAUUUUUUCUUUUCUCUUAUGUGUAACUCAUUUUAUCCUGACUACAAAUUUGAUCUAAAAUAUUAGUAAUUCUGGAUUUUCUGUUAUGAACUUUAAGAGACAUGAUCUAAUGUAUUUGGAUUUACAGAGAUUUGUUUUUUAAAUAAAAAAAUAAAGUGAAGAAAAGAUUUAUUUUUUAUUUUUUUAUGUACUUUUUUUUUUUUUUUGCCCUCCCUUAGAACAUGUUUUUUUUCCUUAAUCAAAGGAUGACAGGUUCUGCAACCACACCCAGCAAGUCUCUUAAAAAUAUUGAUAAAGCUGUCACUGCAGACACAUUCUCUGGGCUUGAUUUUUGAAAAGAAGGCCACAUGUGUUCCCUGCACAUAGGUCAAUCAUUGUGGUUACUAGGUAUGUGUUAACAGGUAGGUUGAAUUAAUUUAAAUCUUUUUCACAUGGUGUUAGCUAAAUCUAUCAGGGGUAUUCCCACAAUUUAUUUGAAUUCU